CAAAUGCAAAGAUGUAUCACUGAACGCUAAACUCAGAAUCAUUCAAAUCACGGUAUUCCCGAUCUCUAUGUAUGGAUGUGAAAGCUGGACAGUGAAAAAAGCUGAGUCUAGGAUCCCUGGCCGGGGACACCAAUGAAAGCCUUCAUGGCUGCCAUGCCACCUGUGGGAGCUGGGUUGGUGAUCUUAUCAUAAUAUAUGCAUUUUUAUAAACAUUGGUUGGAGAACUUCAUUGCAAAAUUCAGGUAUCAAUUCUCCAAAUAACACCAAGAUUUCUUAUACAUGACCAUUCAAUACUGUUGUAACUAAACAUGAACAAAAUUUAACAAAAAUAUACAAGAGACCAAAACCUCUCAAGAUACAUUUCCAGAAGCAAAGACUAUGUGUUGCCUAGCUGGCAAGAAAAUCACCCACUUCACCUGACUAACUAGACAUUACUGCGAUUAAACAUAUUUCCAGAUUUGCCAGGCUUCUAUGGAUGGGCAAUGAGCAAAUUAAUC